rnacentral:rRNA from 1 species
GAUGAACGCUGGCGGCGUGCCUAACACAUGCAAGUCGAGCGAUCUUCUUCGGAAGAGAGCGGCGGACGGGUGAGUAACGCGUGGGUAACCUGCCCUGUACACACGGAUAACAUACCGAAAGGUAUGCUAAUACGGGAUGACAUAUGAAAGUCGCAUGGCUUUUAUAUCAAAGCUCCGGCGGUACAGGAUGGACCCGCGUCUGAUUAGCUAGUUGGUAAGGUAAUGGCUUACCAAGGCGACGAUCAGUAGCCGACCUGAGAGGGUGAUCGGCCACACUGGAACUGAGACACGGUCCAGACUCCUACGGGAGGCAGCAGUGGGGAAUAUUGCACAAUGGGCGAAAGCCUGAUGCAGCAACGCCGCGUGAGUGAUGAAGGCCUUCGGGUCGUAAAGCUCUGUCCUCAAGGAAGAUAAUGACGGUACUUGAGGAGGAAGCCCCGGCUAACUACGUGCCAGCAGCCGCGGUAAUACGUAGGGGGCUAGCGUUAUCCGGAAUUACUGGGCGUAAAGGGUGCGUAGGCGGUCUUUCAAGCCAGAAGUGAAAGGCUACGGCUCAACCGUAGUAAGCUUUUGGAACUGUAGGACUUGAGUGCAGGAGAGGAGAGUAGAAUUCCUAGUGUAGCGGUGAAAUGCGUAGAUAUUAGGAGGAAUACCAGUAGCGAAGGCGGCUCUCUGGACUGUAACUGACGCUGAGGCACGAAAGCGUGGGGAGCAAACAGG